UUGCAAUCUGCAACCACACCACUAGAUACCGCCAAAAUCCUACACACUGCACCUUUAAGUUAACUGUUAGGUAAAACUCCCCGCUGUCCCCUCAUGACACAUAAUCCUUGUUUCAGAGGUCAUGCUCAUUUCGCCAAACUUUGUGAGACCUGUCUCCCUAUCGUCACCAUUCUUUCAUGGCUGUCGCUCACCAGAGAGAAUCAGUCAGAGUCAGCACUAAGCUAUAUUUAUUACAAUAGCCAUUUUUUAUUUUUGCACAGAGUGACUUCUUGAAGUCUCACUUAACAUUAUCUCUCACAGGUAGUGAACUUUAGGGCAACACUGAAUGGUGAGACGUAGAUCCCUGGGGAUCAGCACCAGUACAAUGGGGAUACAGAUAAUGUACUUACUAUAUAUACCGUCACAAUAAUCUUAAUAAGCUUGUCAAAUGUCUUCGUUCACAGAACACACACUAUAAGGGUUUAAGUCUUUUGUAAGAUUUUUUCUCACUCAUUGUCUUAACUAUUGUAUAUUUAUUUUUGUUUUAUAUAUUUAUUAGAGUUUCUAUAUUGUACGGUCAUCCUUUUUGUCAAGAGCACACAAUUCUUUAUAUAGGAAAUGUAGUUUUCAUACUUUGAAAAAAUGCUAUCUCUGCUUUUUUGAAGGACCUUUCUUAGGAACAACUUUCAGAUGACAUUUGGAAAUGUAUUGUUUUGUGUUGUUUGAAACUUACAUUUUUUUUUUUUUUUUAAAUGUAAAAGAGCCAAAGAAUAGGCCUGCAAUUUUUAAAUGGGUCUACAUGUUUCCACUGCCUUGUGAUAAAAUAGGACCAAUUCACAAUUAAAAGAAAGAAAAAAAAGUUUGUAUUUGUCCACAUCUCUCUGCACCCGUUAAUGCUUCCCCACUAUAACAGGGUGUUAGUUUACUUUUUUUUUUAAAUAUAUAUAUAUAUAUAAAUGGAAGUCUUAUUAUGGAAUGAAAUUUGGUGAGAAGUUAUUUCCAUUUUAAAUGAAUUCAGAAUAUAUCAGGGCUGUCUUAGUUUAAAGUCACACUCAAUCACAUGGAGCAAAAAAAAAACUGCAUAUGCAUACAGUGCAUUCAGAGCCACUUUUUCACAUUUUAUUAUGUUAUGCUAAAAUUGUUUAUAUUAAUUUUUCCCUCAUCAAUCUACACUCAAUACCCCAAAAUGACAAGGCAAUACAAUUUUAGAAUUUUUGCUAACUUAAAAGAACAAAAUGAGAUAUCACAAACACUUUGAAUUUAGCUCAGGUGCCUCCCAUUUCUCUUGAUCAUCUUUGAGAUGUUUCUACACCUUUGAUUGGAGUCCACCUGUGGUAAAUACAACUGAUUGGACUUGAUUAUGAAAGGCAACACACCUGGCUGUCUGUCUAUAUAAGGUCUCUCAGCUUAGACAGUGCACAUCAGAGCAAAAAAACUGAGCCAGGAGGUGGAAGGAACUGCCUGCCUGAGACAGCAUUUUGUUGAGAUCUGGAGAAAGAUACAGAAACAUUUAUGCUGCAUUGAAGGUUCCCCAAGAGCACAGCGUUCUCCACGAUUCUUACAUGGGAGAAGAGGCAUAAAUAUGCUUCUAGGGACAGUCAAAGCUCCACCAGACUCCUUGACAUGUUGAUACCCUUUAAGAUCACUUUGGACAAAGUUGCCUUACUGAAGCUCAGAUGAACAGCAACAUUUCAAGUUUCAUUACAAGGUCAAGCAGGGUCCUGCCUUAAGUGCAACGGGUCUGCCCACGCGGUUAUACGAUGUAAAGUGCAUAAGGGUUUAGAUUUCAGUAACCACACACACAGGUGCAUUUUAGUAACAGCAACAAACAGGCUCGACAGCCCUGUCUUAACUUUGUAGACUCACAUGCUCAGAAGGCUCAUUUUUGUAUCGCUGGUUGUGUUUUGUAUCUUGAAGUCUCUGGACUGUAAUACAUGUGCCUGUUGCCUAACCUCUGUGCUUCUUAAAAAAAAACUAAAUAUCUUAUUUCCUUACUGUUUUGUUGCAUGUACAUGAAGGCAUUACACCAGUAUACAUUUUUUUUUUUGUUUUUUUAUAUAAGAGACUUGCAAUGUAAUAUAUAUAUGAUGAUAUGGUACCAUUAUGAGGGAGGUGUUCCACAUCUGCAACUGUCGACACCACUGAACACUGUGAGCCAAGUAAAUGUUUUGUUUUCUCAUUAAAGAAUAAUGCUUAUUGUC